UUCAAUGAUAAAUCAUCUACAAGUUUUGUUAUGUCAUGGACAUCUGUCUUCAGACCAUACAAUCCAAAUAAGUUGUUCCCCGCAGCAGCAGAAUUGAAGUUCGCCAAACUGGCCUUCACAGAGAAGGAAUCAUAUUUAACCUUUGUGGAAACUUUGAAAUUUCUCCUAUCCCCUCGUUUGCUGCCGCAGUUGUUCUUUUGUCUUGACGAAUGAGCUUUCUCUUGAGAGUCACAUUUUGUCGGAUGUGAUCCCAGCUUAUCAGACGGAACCUUCGUGUCAUCAACUGCAGCUGGACCUGUAGUAUCUUCUGAUAGAGCUAUCCAUGGUCUUUUAUGACAUCCACUACCACUUCUUGACAUUUGUCCUGAUUUUCGCUGUACCUGCACUUCUUCAGGCCUUGGAACCCGUGAAGGCCCAUUGGCACCAUCACAACGGCGCUGUUUAGACACACCUUCACUCAGAAAGCUGGGCAGCUGGCUAGCAUGCCGACAAAGUUCAGAAUCUGGAGCCUUAUUCAAUGGUGUUGACUCCAAAAAAUUUGCUGUGCUUGUCACUUCUUUUUCACUACGCAAAGAGUUGCACAGCUCACGGCUCGAC
rnacentral:misc_RNA from 1 species